rnacentral:lncRNA from 1 species
CCCACUGGGCUCACCUACAUUUCAGGGGUAUCCUGGGACUGAGGCAGAGGCUUUCACCUGGGGCAAUAUUAACACUCAGCAAAAUUAGGAAGGAGGAUGAAGGAAUCAGCAUGGUGGAGUGGAAAUAUGGUGCACAUUUAGUCAAAAAGAUUUGGAUCUGAAUUCAUAGCCGUGUGGCCUGGGGCAAGUUGUGAAGAGGGGAUGGUGCCAUCUGCUUUACAGGAGAGAAAUCUAGAAGUGGAAUUGCUGAGCUGUAGAGUAUGUGAAUCUCUACAACUUUCAACUUUACCAUGUAUUGUCAAAUUGCUCUCCAAAGUGAUGGUACCAAUUAAUGAUACUACCAAUAAGGAUCUCAACAGGACAAACACAAAGAAAAUAUCAAGGUGCAUCAUAGACAAAUUAUUGAAAAUCAGCAAUAAGGAGAAAACCUUAAAAACAGCAAGAUAAAAAGAUGCAUUAUGUGUAAAAUUAAAAAAGAAAACAAUGAUUGCUGAAUUCUUAUCAUACCAAUGCACAAAAGACAACAGAACAAUAUCUUUAAUGUGUGAAAAGUAAAAAAAAAAAUGUCAAACUAAGUUUUACAUUCAGGAAAAAUAUUCUUUGAAAAUAGAAGACAAUGAGAUUUCUGAUUUGUGGUUAUCACUCCCAUUCUCAUAAUAAGAAAAAAUCUGAAAAAACUGGAAAUCCACAACUCUUCUUAAAAUUGAGGUAACAGGGCAAGCCACUACCUUGAAUAUUAGAGACAGGAAGAUACAAAGAAUUCAGCUUAAAGAAAGAAGGAAGCCUUGGAGGAGAAGCCUGGUGCUGGAGCCUGUACCACUUUCCACAACAUCAACUGUGCUACUGUAUAAUAACAGGGCAUUAUAGCCAAAGAACUGUAAGCCUCAGACCCUAUUUAAGGAAGAGUCUCCAGGGAAAUCUAAAAAUAACAGGGAAGACUAAAACAAGGACACCCAGAGAAAAUGCUAGCCUUUGAUAUGUACAGCUAUAGCAACUGGCAAACACAAUGUAACUCCUAGCCAGAUCAACAUUGAACCUCACACAAAAGGUCUAUUUACUUCAUUUCCUUCUAAUUGAUACAUCCUCUCAGGCUGUCAGCAAAAAACUAGAAGACGUGAAAAUGCAAAAACUCUGUCUGAAGAGAGAAAGCAUGCCUUAGACUCAGACUGGCAGAAAUUUUGAGUGAUCAAACCAGAUAUUUAAAAUAACUAUGAUUAAAAUGCUAGCAGAAUGGAAAAAGUAAACAACAUGCACAAAUGGAAGGCAAAACAAAGACAUUUUCAAAUAAGCAAAAGGUGAUAGAAUGUGUCAUCCACAGACCUGCACUAUAAAAAAUGGUAGAGGAAGUUCUUCAGUAUGAAAGUGAAUGAUACCAGAUGGAAACUGAGAUCUACAAAAUGAAACAUCACUGGAAAUAGUAAAUACAUGGAGAAAGGCUCAGUCUAGCAGCAGAGCAAACUGGACAUUUUCUCACCAUUUGUUUCACCAGAGAAAGGAAGGGACAGCAACUUGGAGUCUGGAGCUGACGCAGAGGAUGUUUCUUGAUAUCUUCAACUUGAACCUGUCUCACUUGACAGAUUUAUGCUGCCAGAGUGGUUCUUCUAGUAAGAAGCCCCUUGCCAUCAGACACUGCAUUUCACUUGGUGAUUUUCCAGACUCCUCAAAUCUUUUAUGGAAAGAGCCACUUCAGGGCGGGGACCCAGUAUCACGAAGCUGCAAGGUAAAAAGGAUCAAACCUUAACUGCCUACAUGUGCUCACAGGAACAUAAGUGAGUGAGGCUCACCAGCAACCAGGAAGUGAGCUGAGCCUAACAUAUGGGAGAGAUCCUGUCUCAUCUGCAGGGAAGAGCUGCUAUAUAGGAAAGUAUCUGCUCAUUGCUGCCAUGUGGGAAUGCUGGUAUUGCUGGACUUUCUGAUGUUUUAGGAGAAACUGCUGAUCUGUGCAUGAAGUCUGAUAUAUAAAGAUGAUACUAUAUUUAUGUGUCUAUGGAUAAAUAAAUAAUGUCAACUGGUUCCAGAAAAAAAAAACAAAAACAAACAACAACAACAACAACAAAAAACCACUGUGUGGGCUAAACAAGCCUGCUGAUUAGAUUUGGCACAUUGACAGUGAGGUUAAGGUGCCUAAGUGCCUGAAAAACUUAUGUGUUUUUGUUUAUGAGAACAACUUCAGCAAAGUUUCAAGAUACAAAAUCAAUUUACAAAAAUCAGUAGCAUUUCUAUACAUCAACAACGUCUAAGAUGAGACCCAAAUCAAGAAUGAGGUCCCAUUCACAACAGUCACACACACAAAAUAUCUAGGAAUACAGCUAGCCAAGAAGGUGAAAGAUCUCUACAACAAGA